GCUGGUGUCAUGCCCUUAAAUCCCAGGACCGUAAACUAAGUCAACCAAAAGUUCCAGCCUCAAAUAUUUGUCACAGCAAUAGAAAACAGACUAAAAUACCUGAAAAUGUUUAAAGAAAAUCCUGCCCUGAUGGAGUGUAUAUUCCAGAAUGAAGAGACAGACAAUAAGAAAGUAAAUAAGAUGGUAUAACUCGCUGCUGAAACAGUGUUGACAGUAGAAGAAAGGGAAAAAGUGAAUCGGUCCAGCUAAGGAUAAUAUUCCAAAAAUAAGGAAUGACAAUGAAGCCUUUUCUGCAUAUCUCUGCAUUUCAUUGGAAAACCACAAUCUGGAGACAUGUGAAUAUGACCAUGGCCACUGUGUAGCUAGAGAUUCUGUUUCCAGGUGUGAGCUGAGCAAUUUGCUCCCAGAGCUCUGCAAAUAACUACCAUCUUCCAAAAAAAACCCAAAAAACAAAAAAAACCACAGACUGCUGCCUUCCCAUUCUCUCCUUUCCUAUAUAAGCAGCACAUAAGCACAGUAAAUAAAAUGAACAAAACUAACCUUUUAA